rnacentral:rRNA from 1 species
ACGAAAGUCUGAUGGAGCAAUACCACGUGAACGAUGAAGGUCUUCUGAUUGUAAAGUUCUUUUAUUUAGGAAAAAAAGCGUGCUAGGAAAUGAGCGCGCCUUGAUGGUACUAAUUGAAUAAGUGACAGCUAACUAUGUGCCAGCAGCUGCGGUAAAACAUAGGUCACGAGCAUUAUCCGGAUUUAUUGGGCGU